CACGUAGUUAGCCGGGGCUUUCUUCUCAGGUACCGUCACUCCGUUAGCAGUUACUCUAACGGACGUUCUUCCCUGGCAACAGAGCUUUACGAUCCGAAAACCUUCAUCACUCACGCGGCGUUGCUCCGCCAGACUUUCGUCCAUUGCGGAAGAUUCCCUACUGCUGCCUCCCGUAGGAGUCUGGGCCGUGUCUCAGUCCCAGUGUGGCCGUUCACCCUCUCAGGUCGGCUACGCAUCGUCGCCUUGGUGAGCCGUUACCCCACCAACUAGCUAAUGCGCCGCAGGCCCAUCCGUAAGUGACAGAUUGCUCCGCCUUUCCCCAAGCCCCUCAUGCGAGAGACUUGCGUAUCCGGUAUUAGCUACCGUUUCCGGUAGUUAUCCCAGUCUUACGGGCAGGUUGCCUACGUGUUACUCACCCGUCCGCCGCUAAGUUUAUCAGGAGCAAGCUCCCGAUAAACUCCGCUCGACUUGCAUGUAUUAGGCACGCCGCCAGCGUGUCCUCGUGCACGGAGUCGUAAAC
rnacentral:rRNA from 1 species